GGGCAUGUGGUGUAGUUGGUUAUCACGCUCGCUUAGCACCACGGUCUUAUGGCGUACUGUUUGCGAGAGGGGUCCGGUUCAAUCCCGGACAUGUCCA